UUUCUUCUUCUCCGACUAAUUUCAAAUCUCAAAUAAAUCUUCCCCAAAUUUAGAAAGAACAAACAAGCUUCAGAGCUUAAAACCAACAGAUGGGUUCAAAUGCAGUUGAUGAUUUGAUAGAAGCGUCAUCAGGAGUUCAUUAUUCUGGGUUCCAUAUGGAGCAGCCACGUACUCCAGAAAUUGAGCAACCAACAACCUCUAUAGAUGAUAGUUUUCAUAAGCAACCCUUCAUCAUUGGCGUUGCUGGAGGUGCUGCAUCUGGCAAGACAACAGUUUGUGAUUUAAUUAUUGAGCAGCUUCGUGAUCAG
rnacentral:misc_RNA from 1 species